rnacentral:rRNA from 1 species
GCUGGCGGCGCGCUUAACACAUGCAAGUCGAGCGAGAACCAGGACUUCGGUCCUGGGGACAGCGGCGAACGGGUGAGUAACACGUGGAUAACCUGCCCUCGGCACCGGGAUAGCCCGGGGAAACCCGGAUUAAUACCGGAUGGCCCUUCCGGCUCACGAGCCGGUCGGAAAAGGUAGCUUCGGCCUCCGGCCGAGGAUGGGUCCGCGGCGGAUUAGCUUGUUGGUGGGGUAACGGCCUACCAAGGCUCCGAUCCGUAGCUGGUCUGAGAGGACGAUCAGCCACACUGGGACUGAGACACGGCCCAGACUCCUACGGGAGGCAGCAGUGGGGAAUCUUGCGCAAUGGGCGAAAGCCUGACGCAGCGACGCCGCGUGAGGGAGGAAGGCCUUCGGGUUGUAAACCUCUUUCAGGAGGGACGAAGCUACUCGGGUGAACAGCCCAGAGGGUGACGGUACCUCCAGAAGAAGCCCCGGCUAACUACGUGCCAGCAGCCGCGGUAUUACGUAGGGGGCAAGCGUUGUCCGGAUUUACUGGGCGUAAAGAGCGUGUAUGCGGCCAAACA